rnacentral:tRNA from 1 species
UUCCCUUUAGUUUAAUGGUAAAACAGGAUUUUCCUAAAAUCUGAAUUGAAGUUCAAGUCUUUAAUGGAAAU